AAUGAACGUUGGCGGCGUGGAUUAGGCAUGCAAGUCGAGCGGUAAGGCCCCGCAAGGGGUACACGAGCGGCGUAAGGGACAGUAAUGUGUAGGUACGUACCUCCGGGCCUGGGAUAGCUGCGGGAAACUGCAAUUAAUACCAGAUAAUGUCUCCGGACCAAAGGUGUGAUUCCGCCGGGAGAGCGGCCUACAUCCUAUUAGCUAGUUGGCGGGGUAACGGCCCACCAAGGCUCAGAUGGGUAGCAGGUGUGAGAGCACGACCUGCGUCACUGGGACUGAGACACUGCCCAGACACCUACGGGUGGCAG
rnacentral:rRNA from 1 species